GUGAGGAAUAUUGCGCAAUGGGCGAAAGCCUGACGCAGCGACGCCGCGUGUGUGAUGAAGUCUUUCGGGAUGUAAAACACUGUCAGGAAGGACGAUAAUGACAGUACUUCCAGAGGAAGCCCCGGCUAACUACGUGCCAGCAGCCGCGGUAAUACGUAGGGGGCGAGCGUUGUCCGGAAUUAUUGGGCGUAAAGGGUGCGUAGGCGGUGAUUCAAGUCGGAUGUAAAAGGUGUGGGCUCAACUCACAUUUAGCAUCUGAUACUGUUUCACUAGAGAGCAGUAGAAGGAAGCGGAAUUUCCGGUGUAGCGGUGAAAUGCGUAGAUAUCGGAAGGAACACCAGUGGCGAAGGCGGCUUCCUAGCCUGUUUCUGACGCUGAUGCACGAAAGCUAGGGGAGCAAACGGGAUUAGAUACCCGUGUAGUCC
rnacentral:rRNA from 1 species